AUAUGAAGGCCUUCAACGAUAAUUAUUGAAACAAGUUCAUCAAAUAAUAGUACUGUUUUUUGUGUUUUUUUUUUUUUCUAAAAACCAAAAUGAAAGAAUGGUACAAAAGAAAAGAACAUUGAUUAAUAUGAAAAAUUGACCAUUCGAUUUGUUUGUUUCCAACAAAUUGACAAUUCUUUAUGUAUGAUAUAGGAAUUUUUGUCUGUGUGAGAAAAAAG
rnacentral:lncRNA from 1 species